CAUAACGACUCUCGGCAACGGAUAUCUCGGCUCUCGCAUCGAUGAAGAACGNAGCGAAAUGCGAUACUUGGUGUGAAUUGCAGAAUCCCGUGAACCAUCGAGUCUUUGAACGCAAGUUGCGCCCGAAGCCGUCAGGCCGAGGGCACGUCUGCCUGGGCGUCACGCA
rnacentral:rRNA from 1 species